GAUGAACGCUGGCGGCGUACCUAAUACAUGCAAGUCGAGCGAACAGACGAGGAGCUUGCUCCUCUGACGUUAGCGGCGGACGGGUGAGUAACACGUGGAUAACCUACCUAUAAGACUGGGAUAACUUCGGGAAACCGGAGCUAAUACCGGAUAAUAUAUUGAACCGCAUGGUUCAAUAGUGAAAGACGGUUUUGCUGUCACUUAUAGAUGGAUCCGCGCCGCAUUAGCUAGUUGGUAAGGUAACGGCUUACCAAGGCAACGAUGCGUAGCCGACCUGAGAGGGUGAUCGGCCACACUGGAACUGAGACACGGUCCAGACUCCUACGGGAGGCAGCAGUAGGGAAUCUUCCGCAAUGGGCGAAAGCCUGACGGAGCAACGCCGCGUGAGUGAUGAAGGUCUUCGGAUCGUAAAACUCUGUUAUUAGGGAAGAACAAAUGUGUAAGUAACUAUGCACGACUUGACGGUACCUAAUCAGAAAGCCACGGCUAACUACGUG
rnacentral:rRNA from 1 species